rnacentral:rRNA from 1 species
UACGUAGGGUGCGAGCGUUAAUCGGAAUUACUGGGCGUAAAGCGUGCGCAGGCGGUUUUGUAAGCCAGAUGUGAAAUCCCCGGGCUUAACCUGGGAAUGGCAUUUGGGACUGCAAGGCUGGAGUGUGGCAGAGGGGACUGGAAUUCCUGGUGUAGCAGUGAAAUGCGUAGAGAUCAGGAGGAAUACCGAUGGCGAAGGCAGGUCCCUGGGUUAACACUGACGCUCAUGCACGAAAGUGUGGGGAGCAAACAGG